UACGGAGGGUGCAAGCGUUAUCCGGAUUUACUGGGUUUAAAGGGUGUGUAGGCGGGCUAUUAAGUCAGCGGUGAAAUCUCCGGGCUCAACCCGGAAACUGCCAUUGAUACUAUUAGUCUUGAAUUCUGUUGAGGUGGGCGGAAUAAAUCAUGUAGCGGUGAAAUGCAUAGAUAUGAUUUAGAACACCAAUUGCGAAGGCAGCUCGCUAAACAGAUAUUGACGCUGAGGCACGAAAGCGUGGGGAUCAAACAGG
rnacentral:rRNA from 1 species